rnacentral:rRNA from 1 species
GGAGUCUGGUCCGUGUCUCAGUACCAGUGUGGGGGAUAAGCCUCUCAGCUCCCCUAGACAUCGUCGCCUUGGUAGGCCGUUACCCUACCAACUAGCUAAUGCCACGCAUGCCCAUCCCGUACCACCGAAGCUUUAGUCAUCAUACCAUGCGAUUUAAUGACUCCAUGGGAUAUUAGUGGAAUUUUCACUCCGUUAUCCCCCUGUACAGGGUAGGUUGCAUACGCGUUACGCACCCGUGCGCCGGUCGCCAGCACAGUAUUGCUACCGCCUGCUGCCCCUCGACUUGCAUGUGUUAAGCCUGCCGCUAGCGUUCAUC